rnacentral:rRNA from 1 species
UGCCAGCCGCCGCGGUAAGACGGAAGGAGCAAACGCUAUUCGGAUUUACUGGGCGUAAAGCGCGUGUAGGUGGAAUAAACAGUUAUGUGUGAAAUCCCAAAGCUCAACUUUGGAACUGCAUAUAAUACUAUUAUUCUAGAGUUUGGUAGAGGAUGAUGGAAUUCCUAGUGGAGAGGUGAAAUUCAUUGAUAUUAGGAGGAACACCAGUGGCGAAAGCGAUCAUCUGGGCCAAUACUGACAUUGAGACGCGAAAGCGUGGGUAGCAAACAGGAUUAGAUA